rnacentral:rRNA from 1 species
GGUUCGAUUCUGGCUCAGAUUGAACGCUGGCGGGAUGCUUACACAUGCAAGUCGAACGGCAGCACGGACUUCGGUCUGGUAUGAGUGGCGAACGGGUGAGUAAUGUAUCGCGAACGUGCCAGAAGUGGGGGAUAACUACGCGAAAGCGUAGCCAAUAACAAUACGCCCUUCGGGGAAAGUGGGGACCUUGUCCGGGCACUAUUAGAGCGGCCGAUAUCGGAUUAGCUAGUUGGUGGGGUAACGGCUACCAUGACGAUCCGUAGCUGGUUUGAGAGGACGACCAGCCACACUGGGACUGGAGACGGCCCAGACUCCUACGGGAGGCAGCAGUGGGGAAUUUUGGACAAUGGGGAAACCUGAUCCAGCCAUCUCGGGCGUGCGAUGAAGGCCUUCGGGUUGUAAAGCACUUUGGCAGGAAAGAAACGGCACGGAUAAUACCCCGUGCAACUGACGGUACCGUAGAACAAGCACCGGCUAACCACACAGCAGCCGCAAUAAUAGGCAAGCGUUAAUCGAAAUUCAUUGGGCGUAAAGCGUGCGCAGGCGGUUCGGAAAAAGAAAGAUGUGAAACCCAGAGCUAACUUUGAACUGACUUAACUACCGACAUAUGUGUGUCAGAGGGAGGUGGAAUUCCGCGUGUAGCAGAAAUGCGUAGAUAAGGUGAGGAACACCGAUGGCGAAGGCAGCCCUCCCGGGGAUAACACUGACGCUCAUGCAUCGAAAGCGUGGGGAGCAAACAGGAUUAGAUACCCUGGUAGUCCACGCCCCAAACGAUGUCAACUAGCUGUUGGGGCCUGGCCUGGUAGCGCAGCUAACGCGAGCUGGACCGCCUGGGGAGUACAACGCAAGAUUAAAACUCAAAGGAAUUGACGGGGGACCUGCACAAGCGGUGGAUGAUGUGGAUUAAUUCGAUGCAAAUUCUAGAAAAACCUACCACACCUUUGACAUGUCUGGAAUCCCGUGAAGAGAUUUGGGAGUGCUCGCAAGAGAACGGGAACACAGGUGCUGCAUGGCUGUCGUCAGCUCGUGUCGUGAGAUGUUGGGUUAAGUCCUCGGCAACGAGCGCAACCCUUGUCAUAUGUUAGGUUGCUACGAAAGGGCACUUCAAUGACUGCUGGUGACAACCGAGGAAGGUGGAGACGUCAAGUCCUCAUGGCCUUAUGGGUAGGGCUUCACACGUCAUACAAUGGUCGGGACAGAGGGUCGCCAACCUGCGAGAGGGGAGCCAAUCCCAGAAACCUGAUCAGUCCGAUCGCAGUCUGCAACUGACUGCGUGAAGUCGGAAUCGCUAGUAAUCGCGGAUCAGCAUGUCGCGGAAUACGUUCCUGUCUUGUACACCGCCCGUCACAUCUUCAUGGGAGUGGGUUUUACCAGAAGUAGUUAGCCUAACCGUAAGGGAGGGCGAUUACCACGGUAGGAUUCAUGACUGGGUGAAGUCGUAACAAGGU